rnacentral:rRNA from 1 species
UUGACCUCAAAUCAGGUAGGACUACCCGCUGAACUUAAGCAUAUCAAUAAGCGGAGGAAAAGAAACUAACAAGGAUUCCCCUAGUAACUGCGAGUGAAGCGGGAAAAGCUCAAAUUUAAAAUCUGGCGGUCUCCGGCCGUCCGAGUUGUAAUCUGGAGAAGCGUUUAUCCGCGCCGGACCGUGUAUAAGUCUUCUGGAAGGGAGCGUCGUA